rnacentral:rRNA from 1 species
AGUGAACGCUGGCGGUAGGCCUAACACAUGCAAGUCGAACGGCAGCACAGUAAGAGCUUGCUCUUACGGGUGGCGAGUGGCGGACGGGUGAGGAAUACAUCGGAAUCUACUUUUUCGUGGGGGAUAACGUAGGGAAACUUACGCUAAUACCGCAUACGACCUACGGGUGAAAGCAGGGGAUCUUCGGACCUUGCGCGAUUGAAUGAGCCGAUGUCGGAUUAGCUAGUUGGCGGGGUAAAGGCCCACCAAGGCGACGAUCCGUAGCUGGUCUGAGAGGAUGAUCGGCCACACUGGAACUGAGACACGGUCCAGACUCCUACGGGAGGCAGCAGUGGGGAAUAUGAGACAAUGGGCGCAAGCCUGAUCCAGCCAUACCGCGUGGGUGAAGAAGGCCUUCGGGUUGUAAAGCCCUUUUGUUGGGAAAGAAAAGCAGCAGGUUAAUACCCCGCUGUUCUGACGGUACCCAAAGAAUAAGCACCGGCUAACUUCGUG